rnacentral:tRNA from 1 species
GAGGAUAUAGCUCAGCGGUAGAGUGCCUGCUUAACAUGCACAAGGUCCUGGGUUCAAUCCCCUGUACCUACA